rnacentral:rRNA from 1 species
UGGGGAAUUUUGGACAAUGGGGGCAACCCUGAUCCAGCCAUGCCGCGUGCGGGAAGAAGGCCUUCGGGUUGUAAACCGCUUUUGGCCGGGAAGAAAAGGCUGAGGAGAAUACCCUUGGUUUUUGACGGUACCGGCAGAAUCAGCACCGGCUAACUACGUGCCAGCAGCCGCGGUAAUACGUAGGGUGCGAGCGUUAAUCGGAAUUACUGGGCGUAAAGCGUGCGUAGGCGGUUCGUUGUGUCUGUGGUGAAAGCCCCGGGCUUAACCUGGGAAUGGCCAUGGAAACUGGCGAGCUGGAGUGUGGCAGAGGGGGGUGGAAUUCCGCGUGUAGCAGUGAAAUGCGUAGAGAUGCGGAGGAACACCGAUGGCGAAGGCAGCCCCCUGGGCUAACACUGACGCUGAGGCACGAAAGCGUGGGGAGCAAACAGGAUUAGAUACCCUGGUAGUCCACGCCCUAAACGAUGUCGACUGGGUGUCCGGGAAGCGAUUUCUGGGUACCGUAGCUAACGCGUGAAGUCGACCGCCUGGGGAGUACGGCCGCAAGGUUAA